CUUGGUCAUUUAGAGGAAGUAAAAGUCGUAACAAGGUUUCCGUAGGUGAACCUGCGGAAGGAUCAUUACCUAGAGUUUGCAGACUUCGGUCUGCUACCUCUUACCCAUGUCUUUUGAGUACCUUCGUUUCCUCGGCGGGUCCGCCCGCCGAUUGGACAACAUUCAAACCCUUUGCAGUUGCAAUCAGCGUCUGAAAAAACAUAAUAGUUACAACUUUCAACAACGGAUCUCUUGGUUCUGGCAUCGAUGAAGAACGCAGCGAAAUGCGAUAAGUAGUGUGAAUUGCAGAAUUCAGUGAAUCAUCGAAUCUUUGAACGCACAUUGCGCCCCUUGGUAUUCCAUGGGGCAUGCCUGUUCGAGCGUCAUUUGUACCUUCAAGCUCUGCUUGGUGUUGGGUGUUUUGUCUCGCCUCCGCGUGUAGACUCGCCUUAAAACAAUUGGCAGCCGGCGUAUUGAUUUCGGAGCGCAGUACAUCUCGCGCUUUGCACUCAUAACGACGACGUCCAAAAGUACAUUUUUACACUCUUGACCUCGGAUCAGGUAGGGAUACCCGCUGAACUUAAGCAUAUCAAUAAGCGGAGGA
rnacentral:rRNA from 1 species